AUUUGGAAUAGGUUUAACUUAAUGUUUAAGUUCCCUGUUUAAGAAAUAGAAAACAUACGAAUCUUCUCAUUUCAUGGGAACGACCUGAGACUGCAAUCACGGCUUCAAUCUUUGAAUUACAGAAUAAUUAGAUGCACUAUCUAGUGUAUAUAAGAUAUCUAUGGAUUUCAAGCACUUUAGGCGUGAAAUUUUGCAGAAUUCUGAGGAUUAUAAAGUACAUCAAGGACCAGAUAAUUCUCUUCGGAUCUAAAUUAAUUGCAUAGAAAUGUCACCUUGGAAAAGGAGUCCGUGUC